GGAAAUAAAAUUAGCCUGGCCCGCAGUAGAGUGCCGACAAGAAUAAUAUUGUUGACAGACCCACAGACCACUAUGGCGGUGACGACAACGGACGUACAUAUGGAAUGUCGACCCAUAACGACCGACACGUUUGACAAGAAUUUACGCAGUGAAAAUUCAAGCUCCGCUAGAAAUAAUGUCAUAAACAAUGUAGAGGUCAUGAAAUGAAAUGGGGUUUAACGUCCUACUGUUCUCAAUACUGGCAGCGCAGGGGUUUACAAAAUUCAAGACGGUCCCGAUACCCAGGUAAUAUUAAAGCGACAUAUUAACCAUCGUUUCAUUUCCACCCCCCCCCCCCAAUCAUAUACGGCGUGAACGUAAAGAACCCUUGGCAGUUGGAAUUCGAUAUAAGAGCAGUCAUAGCACACUGUAUGGCGUAGGUUUCUUUUCGUUAUCCCAGUUGGAGCAGAGCACCAGGAUGUUAAUUCCCAUUUAAACAUUUGUUUCAUUUAUCAAAACAAAAUGAUCUAUAUCCUGGCAUAAACAUGUCACUACCCUUUUGAUAUUGUUUUAAUGUUUAUCUACGUACUGAUAAUCAAAGGUCAGGGCUAUUUUAAUUACGUCACUUAUAGUUAGAUCCUGUUUGUUUGAUAUAAAUUAGAAGAAUUAUUUAUACAAUUGGUUACAUCAUUUAACCGUCAGCGAUAUAUAUAAUAUAAUUAAUUAUAGGAACAAAUAUACCGUUAGCGUUAUAUCUUUAGUAUAUUAUAGAAACAGAUAAACCAUCAGAAUGCAGCGAUUUAUAAUAGUAAUGGUUUUAUUGCUGGUUUUAAUCUACACAUGUGACGUUUCAGGAAGAAGAUAUGAUUAUUAUUAUGAUGAACAGACAUGUGAUCAGUCGUGCUAUGUCCAGUGUUAUGGGGAUGGUUAUUGUUAUUCUAGACAAUCUAGAUGGUACUGUGAAUGUUAUGACUGAUUGUCACUUCCAUAUAAAAGCUAGACGUAACGAGACGUUAUAAAAACUAUAGCCUGUACCAUUUGAAACGGAUGUUAUGACUGAUAGUCACCUCCAGAAGACCUUCACAUAACGAGGCAUUAUAAAAACUAUAGCCUGCAACAUUUGAAACCAGUUCUAAUCAUCACGAUCUCUCGGAUCUUUUAGUCACCAAAAUCUCUAUAUCCCCGUCACAAACUCUAUAUCUCCGUCAAAAACUCUAUAUCCCCGUCACAAACUCUAUAUCUCCGUCAAAAACUCUAUAUCCCCGUCACAAACUCUGUAUCUCCGUCAAAAUCCCUAUAUUCCGUCAACAAUGAUUUACCCCAGUCAAAACCUACACCAAAAACUCUAUACCCCAAUCAUAAAAAAAACUCACUCAAAUACUAAUUUGUCGUCACACAAUAGAAGGCCAAUCAAUCAUUUGUAGAUAAUGUCCAUUUGUUCAGUGAAUAUCGAAAGAAAUCUCAGAGUUUUUGUAUCAUAUCACUUAUUAACGCUAAUAUAUUGUUAUUGUAUUUUAUCACUGAUGUACAUUAACUCAAAUAAAUUUAAUUCCUUAAAGCUGAGAA